UCUUGGUCAAUUAGAGGAAGUAAAAGUCGUAACAAGGUCUCCGUAGGUGAACCUGCGGAGGGAUCAUUACAAG
rnacentral:rRNA from 1 species